CGACCGGCGCACGGGUGAGUAACGCGUAUGUAAUCUACCUGUAACAGAGGGAUAACCCGGAGAAAUCCGGACUAAUACCUCAUAGCACAUAUUAUUCGCAUGAACUUUAUGUUAAAGAGACUCGGUUACAGAUGAACAUGCGUUCCAUUAGCUAGUUGGCGGGGUUACGGCCCACCAAGGCAACGAUGGAUAGGGGUUCUGAGAGGAAGGUCCCCCACACUGGUACUGAGACACGGACCAG
rnacentral:rRNA from 1 species